rnacentral:rRNA from 1 species
GUGAGGAAUAUUGGUCAAUGGACGAGAGUCUGAACCAGCCAAGUAGCGUGAAGGAUGACUGCCCUAUGGGUUGUAAACUUCUUUUAUAAGGGAAUAAAGUGAGGGACGUGUCCCUUUUUGUAUGUACCUUAUGAAUAAGGAUCGGCUAACUCCGUGCCAGCAGCCGCGGUAAUACGGAGGAUCCGAGCGUUAUCCGGAUUUAUUGGGUUUAAAGGGACCGUAGGUUGACAUAUAAGUCAGCUGUGAAAGUUUACGGCUCAACCGUGAAAUUGCAGUUGAUACUGUAUGUCUUGAGUGUACAAGAGGUGGGCGGAAUUCGUGGUGUAGCGGUGAAAUGCUUAGAUAUCACGAAGAACUCCAAUUGCGAAGGCAGCUCACUGGGGUACAACUGACACUGAGGCUCGAAAGUGUGGGUAUCAAACAGGAUUAGAUACCCUUGUAGUCC